rnacentral:rRNA from 1 species
CAGCAGCCGCGGGAAAACAGAGGGUGCGAGCGUUAAUCGGAUUUACUGGGCGUAAAGCGUGCGUAGGCGGCUUCUUAAGUCGGAUGUGAAAUCCAUGAGCUUAACUUAGGAAUUGCAUUCGAUACUGGGAAGCUAGAGUAUGGGAGAGGAUGGUAGAAUUCCAGGUGUAGCGGUGAAAUGCGUAGAGAUCUGGAGGAAUACCGAUGGCGAAGGCAGCCAUCUGGCCUAAUACUGACGCUGAGGUACGAAAGCAUGGGGAGCAAACAGGAUUAGAUACCCCGGUAGUCCCUGUCUCUUAUAC